rnacentral:rRNA from 1 species
AACGAACGCUGGCGGCGUGGAUAAGACAUGCAAGUCGAACGCUGAUUGCGGGGUAGCAAUAUUCUGCAGUCGGAGUGGCGCAAGGGUGCGUAACACGUGGGUAAUUUGCCGUGAAGCCCGGGAUAACUCGCUGAAAGGCGAGCUAAUACCGGAUGUGAUCUUCGGGAGGCAUCUCCUGAACCUUAAAGCUGGGGACCGUAAGGCCUGGCACUUCACGAUAAGCCCGCGGCCUAUCAGCUAGUUGGUGAGGUAACGGCUCACCAAGGCUAAGACGGGUAGCUGGUCUGAGAGGACGACCAGCCACACUGGAACUGAGACACGGUCCAGACACCUACGGGUGGCAGCAGUCGAGAAUUUUUCACAAUGGGCGAAAGCCUGAUGGAGUGACGCCGCGUGGGGGAUGAAUGGCUUCGGCCCGUAAACCCCUGUCAUUUGCGAACAAACCUCGUUAUUUAAAAGAUGACGAGCUGAUUGUAGCGAAAGAGGAAGGGACGGCUAACUCUGUGC